CUGCCCCAUCAAAGGUUCUAAAAUAUGCUUAGGGCAUCUCUAUUAAGAGGAUGAGGAGAAAGGAGGAGGGGGAAGAUGCUAACAACUAAAUGGUUCAAUAUGAUGCAGUAUUUCCAAUGGCGGGAGACAGAAACAAUGUCACAAAGUGGGAGAGGCACUAAGAAUGAGAUCUGGCACCACUUACUCUUGUUUCUAUACAAUCGAAGUACAACACUUCUCAAUUUUCUAGGCGUCUUUGGGGAGAGAUCUUAUCUCUCUUAAUGGUACCAACUCAGUAACCCAAACUGUUCACCAAUACUUCUUUUAAGUAGUUGUGAGGUAGGGAGUCCAACACUUCCCAAGAGAUCCUGUUAGUACAUUAUAGCAACUACAGGGAAUGUUUUACAAAUGACUGUCAUUAUAAUGUUAAAUCUAACAUAUAUGCCAACCCCCUUAGUUUAUACAAUAACUUUCCUCCAAAAAUCUUAAUUAAAAAUAAAAUAUAGCUGACUUCGUUAUAAAGAGA
ensembl:lncRNA novel transcript